GCCAUGUUGCGGUGAAUACGUUCCCGGGUCUUGUACUCACCGCCCGUCACACCAUGGGAGUUGUGUUUGCCUUAAGUCAGGAUGCUAAAUUGGCUACUGCCCACGGCACACACAGCGACUGGGGUGAAGUCGUAACAAGGUAACCGUAGGUGAACCUGCGGUUGGAUCACCUCCUUUCUAGA
rnacentral:rRNA from 1 species